rnacentral:rRNA from 1 species
GGGAGAGGGAUCCCAUCAGAACUCCACAGUCAAGCGUGCUUGGGCGAGAAUAGUACUAGGAUGGGUGACCUCCUGGGAAGUCCUCGUGUUACACCCUUC